GGAGAAGCGACAUAGCUCAGUGGUAGAGCAUCUGAUUUGCAUGCAGAAGGCCCCAGGUUCAUUACCUACAACCUCCA